rnacentral:rRNA from 1 species
CAGUAGCCGCGGUAAUACGUAGGGUGCAAGCGUUAAUCGGAAUUACUGGGCGUAAAGCGUGCGCAGGCGGCUUUUUAAGUCGGAUGUGAAAUCCCUGAGCUUAACUUAGGAAUUGCAUUCGAUACUGGGAAGCUAGAGUAUGGGAGAGGAUGGUAGAAUUCCAGGUGUAGCGGUGAAAUGCGUAGAGAUCUGGAGGAAUACCGAUGGCGAAGGCAGCCAUCUGGCCUAAUACUGACGCUGAGGUACGAAAGCAUGGGGAGCAAACAGGAUUAGAUACCCCCGUAGUCCCUGUCUCUUAUAA